rnacentral:rRNA from 1 species
GACGAAGGUGGCAAGCGUUAUUCGGAUUUACUGGGCAUAAAGCGCGCGUAGGCGGCUUGGCAAGUCGGGGGUGAAAGCCCGCAGCUCAACUGCGGAACUGCCUUCGAUACUGCCGGGCUUGAGGGCGGGAGGGGUGAUUGGAACUCCAGGUGUAGCGGUGAAAUGCGUAGAUAUCUGGAGGAACACCGGUGGCGAAGGCGACAUCCUGGACCGGUAUUGACGCUGAGGCGCGAAAGCCAGGGGAGCAAACGGG